rnacentral:rRNA from 1 species
UAAACGAUGUCAACUAGCCGUUGGGACUCUUGAAGUCUUAGUGGCGCAGCUAACGCACUAAGUUGACCGCCUGGGGAGUACGGCCGCAAGGCUAAAACUCAAAUGAAUUGACGGGGACCCGCACAAGCAGUGGAUCAUGUGGUUUAAUUCGAUGCAACGCGAAAAACCUUACCUACUCUUGACAUACUUGGAAGCUCUUGUAAUGAGAGUGUGCUUUUAAGAACCAAGAUACAGGUGCUGCAUGGCUGUCGUCAGCUCGUGUCGUGAGAUGUUCCGUUAAGUCGGAUAACGAGCGCAACCCUUACCCUUAUUUGCCAGCGAUUCGGUCGGGAACUAUAAGGGGACUGCCGGUGAUAAACCGGAGGAAGGUGAGGACGACGUCAAGUCAUCAUGGCCCUUACGAGUAGGGCUACACACGUGAUACAAUGGGAGAGACAGACGGACGCUAAGCCGCGAGGUGGUGCUAAUCCUAGAAACUCUCUCGUAGUCCGGAUUGGAGUCUGCAACUCGACUCCAUGAAGUUGGAAUUGCUAGUAAUCGCGGAUCAGCAUGCCGCGGUGAAUACGUUCUCGGGUCUUGUACACACCGCCCGUCACACCAUGGAAGUGGAUUGCACCAGAAGUAGAUAGUCUAACCUUAGGGAGGGCGUUUACCACGGUGUGCUUCAUGACUGGGGUGAAGUCGUAACAAGGUAGCCG